UUAGCUAGUUGGUGAGGUAACGGCUCACCAAGGCCACGAUGCAUAGCCGACCUGAGAGGGUGAUCGGCCACAUUGGGACUGAGACACGGCCCAAACUCCUACGGGAGGCAGCAGUAGGGAAUCUUCGGCAAUGGACGAAAGUCUGACCGAGCAACGCCGCGUGAGUGAAGAAGGUUUUCGGAUCGUAAAACUCUGUUGUUAGAGAAGAACAAGGAUGAGAGUAGCUGUUCAUCCCUUGACGGUAUCUAACCAGAAAGCCACGGCUAACUACGUGCCAGCAGCCGCGGUAAUACGUAGGUGGCAAGCGUUGUCCGGAUUUAUUGGGCGUAAAGCGAGCGCAGGCGGUUUCUUAAGUCUGAUGUGAAAGCCCCCGGCUCAACCGGGGAGGGUCAUUGGAAACUGGGAGACUUGAGUGCAGAAGAGGAGAGUGGAAUUCCAUGUGUAGCGGUGAAAUGCGUAGAUAUAUGGAGGAACAC
rnacentral:rRNA from 1 species